rnacentral:rRNA from 1 species
GACGAACGCCGGCGGCAGGCCUAACACAUGCAAGUCGAACGGGAUCUUCGGAUCUAGUGGCGGACGGGUGAGUAACGCGUGGGAACGUGCCCUUUGGUUCGGAAUAGCCCUGGGAAACUGGGAGUAAUACCGGAUGUGGUCGAGAGACGAAAGAUUUAUCGCCAAAGGAUCGGCCCGCGUUGGAUUAGGUAGUUGGUGGGGUAAUGGCCUACCAAGCCGACGAUCCAUAGCUGGUUUGAGAGGAUGAUCAGCCACACUGGGACUGAGACACGGCCCAGACUCCUACGGGAGGCAGCAGUGGGGAAUCUUAGACAAUGGGGGAAACCCUGAUCUAGCCAUGCCGCGUGAGCGAUGAAGGCCUUAGGGUUGUAAAGCUCAUUCGUGGGGGAAGAUAAUGACUGUACCCCAAGAAGAAGCCCCGGCUAACUCCGUGCCAGCCGCCGCAGUAACAC